rnacentral:rRNA from 1 species
CGUAAACAAAGGGAAGCGAAGUGGCGACAUGGAGCAAAUCCCAAAAAUAACGUCCCAGUUCGGAUUGUAGUCUGCAACCCGACUACAUGAAGCCGGAAUCGCUAGUAAUCGCGGAUCAGAAUGCCGCGGUGAAUACGUUCCCGGGUCUUGUACACACCGCCCGUCACACCAUGGGAGUUGGAAAUGCCCGAAGUCAGUGGCCCAAACCGGGAAGGGGGGAGCUGCCGAAGGCAGGUUCGAUGACUGGGGUGAAGUCGUAACAAGGUAUC